rnacentral:rRNA from 1 species
CCUACGGGAGGCAGCAGUGAGGAAUAUUGGUCAAUGGACGAGAGUCUGAACCAGCCAAGUAGCGUGAAGGAUGACUGCCCUAUGGGUUGUAAACUUCUUUUAUAUGGGAAUAAAAUGUUCCACGUGUGGGAUUUUGUAUGUACCAUAUGAAUAAGGAUCGGCUAACUCCGUGCCAGCAGCCGCGGUAAUACGGAGGAUCCGAGCGUUAUCCGGAUUUAUUGGGUUUAAAGGGAGCGUAGUGGGAUUGUUAAGUCAGUUGUGAAAGUUUGCGGCUCAACCGUAAAAUUGCAGUUGAAACUGGCAGUCUUGAGUACAGUAGAGGUGGGCGGAAUUCGUGGUGUAGCGGUGAAAUGCUUAGAUAGCACGAAGAACUCCGAUUGCGAAGGCAGUUCACUGGACUGCAACUGACACUGAGGCUCGAAAGUGUGGGUAUCAAACAGGAUUAGAUACCCCUGUAGUC